rnacentral:rRNA from 1 species
GAGUUUGAUCUUGGCUCAGGAUGAACGCUGGCGGCGUGCUUAACACAUGCAAGUCGAACGAAGCACCUUGACUGAGACCUUCGGGUGGAUUUUGAGGUGACUGAGUGGCGGACGGGUGAGUAACGCGUGGGUAACCUGCCUUACAGAGGGGGAUAACAGUUGGAAACGGCUGCUAAUACCGCAUAAGCGCACAGGGUCGCAUGACCCAGUGUGAAAAAACUCAGGUGCUGUAAGAUGGACCCCGCGUUGGAUUAGCUAGUUGGCAGGGUAACGGCCUACCAAGGCGACGAUCCAUAGCCCGGCCUGAGAGGGUGACCGGCACAUUGGGACUGAGACACGGCCCAAACUCCUACGGGAGGCAGCAGUGGGGAAUAUUGCACAAUGGGGCGAAAGCCUGAUGCAGCAACGC